rnacentral:rRNA from 1 species
UACGAAGGGGGCUAGCGUUGCUCGGAAUCACUGGGCGUAAAGGGUGCGUAGGCGGGUCUUUAAGUCAGAGGUGAAAUCCUGGAGCUCAACUCCAGAACUGCCUUUGAUACUGAGGAUCUUGAGUUCGGGAGAGGUGAGUGGAACUGCGAGUGUAGAGGUGAAAAUUCGUAGAUAUUCGCAAGAACACCAGUGGCGAAGGCGGACUCACUGGCCCGAUACUGACGCUGAGGCACGAA